rnacentral:rRNA from 1 species
UACGAGGGGUGCUAGCGUUGUUCGGAAUCAUUGGGCGUAAAGCGUGCGUAGGCGGCUUAGUAAGUCAGCUGUGAAAGCCCAAGGCUCAACCUUGGAACUGCAGUUGAAACUACUAUGGCUAGAGUAUGGUGGGGGAUAGUGGAAUUCCUAGUGUAGGGGUGAAAUCCGUAGAUAUUAGGAGGAACAUCAGUGGCGAAAGCGACUAUCUAUACCAUUACUGACGCUGAGGUACGAAAGCGUGGGGAGCAAACAGG